AGAGCGAACGCUGGCGGCAGGCCUAACACAUGCAAGUCGAGCGCCCCGCAAGGGGAGCGGCAGACGGGAGAGUAACACGUGGGAACGUACCCUUCAGUUCGGAACAACCCAGGGAAACUUGGGCUAAUACCGAAUACGUCCGUAAGGAGAAAGAUUUAUCGCUGAAGGAUCGGCCCGCGUCUGAUUAGCUUGUUGGUGAGGUAAUGGCUCACCAAGGCUACGAUCAGUAGCUGGUCUGAGAGGAUGAUCAGCCUCACUGGGACUGAGACACGGCCCAGACUCCUACGGGAGGCAGCAGUGGGAAUAUUGGACAAUGGGCGCAAGCCUGAUCCAGCCAUGCCGCGUGGGUGAUGAAGGCCCUAGGGUUGUAAAGCCCGUUUCGGCGGGGAAGAUAAUGACGGUACCGCAGAAGAACGCCCGGCUAACUUCGUGCCAGCAGCCGC
rnacentral:rRNA from 1 species